GCGCCCGGCUGAUAAGCCGGGCAUAGUGCCCGGCGCAGUGACCGGGAGGACCCGGGUUCGAAGCCCGGCGGGCCCACCA
rnacentral:tRNA from 1 species